rnacentral:rRNA from 1 species
GACGAACGCUGGCGGCGUGCUUAACACAUGCAAGUCGAACGGUGAAGCGCCUUCCUUUUUGGUGGGUGUGGAUGAGUGGCGAACGGGUGAGUAACACGUGAGUAACCUGCCCCCUUCUUCUGGAUAACCGCAUGAAAGUGUGGCUAAUACGGGAUAUUCUGGGUCUGUCGCAUGAUGGGUCUGGGAAAGAUAUUGUUUCGGUGGGGGAUGGGCUCGCGGCCUAUCAGCUUGUUGGUGGGGUGAUGGCCUACCAAGGCGGUGACGGGUAGCCGGCCUGAGAGGGUGGACGGUCACACUGGGACUGAGACACGGCCCAGACUCCUACGGGAGGCAGCAGUGGGGAAUAUGGCACAAUGGGCGCAAGCCUGAUGCAGCGACGCCGCGUGAGGGAUGGAGGCCUUCGGGUUGUGAACCCCUUUCGCCAGUGAAGCAGGCCUGCCUCGUUUGUGGGUGGGUUGACGGUAGCUGGAUAAGAAGCGCCGGCUAACUAC